AACGUAGGAGGCGAGCGUUAGCCGGUGUGACUGGGCGUAAAGCGCGUGUAGGCGGUCAGGCAAGCUGGGUGUGAAAGCGCCAGGCUCAACCUGGCGAGGCCAUCCGGGACUGCGUGGCUGGAGGCCGGUAGAGGAGGGCGGAAUUCCGGGUGUAGCGGUGAAAUGUGUAGAGAUCCGGAGGAACACCGGUGGUGCAGGCGGCGCUCUGGGCCGGACCUGACGCUGAGACGCGAAAGCGUGGGGAGCGAACGGG
rnacentral:rRNA from 1 species